CACAUAAAAAGGGUGACGGGCGGCGAUCCGCUCGUGCGCGAGGCGCUGCUGGUGCGACUCAAGGCUAUGAGGAAGGAGCUGGCCGGCCCCGACCCAUCGUUCCUGGAGCGGCUGCUGGCGGAAAGGAUCGUGGCCUGCUGGCUCCAGGUGCAGUACGCCGAGAUCAUCUACGCGCAGAACCUCGCGAGCAUGAGCAUGGCGCAGGGCGAGUACCAUCAGCGCCGCCUGGACAAGCUGCACAGGCGCUACCUCUCCGCGAUCAAGGCGCUGGCUCAGAUCCGCAAGAUGGGGCCGACCGU
rnacentral:misc_RNA from 1 species